rnacentral:rRNA from 1 species
UUAGUGGCGAACGGGUGAGUAACACGUGGGCAAUCUGCCCUUCACUCUGGGACAAGCCCUGGAAACGGGGUCUAAUACCGGAUAACACUCUGUCCUGCAUGGGACGGGGUUGAAAGCUCCGGCGGUGAAGGAUGAGCCCGCGGCCUAUCAGCUUGUUGGUGGGGUAAUGGCCUACCAAGGCGACGACGGGUAGCCGGCCUGAGAGGGCGACCGGCCACACUGGGACUGAGACACGGCCCAGACUCCUACGGGAGGCAGCAGUGGGGAAUAUUGCACAAUGGGCGAAAGCCUGAUGCAGCGACGCCGCGUGAGGGAUGACGGCCUUCGGGUUGUAAACCUCUUUCAGCAGGGAAGAAGCGCAAGUGACGGUACCUGCAGAAGAAGCGCCGGCUAACUACGUGCCAGCAGCCGCGGUAAUACGUAGGGCGCAAGCGUUGUCCGGAAUUAUUGGGCGUAAAGAGCUCGUAGGCGGCUUGUCACGUCGGAUGUGAAAGCCCGGGGCUUAACCCCGGGUCUGCAUUCGAUACGGGCUAGCUAGAGUGUGGUAGGGGAGAUCGGAAUUCCUGGUGUAGCGGUGAAAUGCGCAGAUAUCAGGAGGAACACCGGUGGCGAAGGCGGAUCUCUGGGCCAUUACUGACGCUGAGGAGCGAAAGCGUGGGGAGCGAACAGGAUUAGAUACCCUGGUAGUCCACGCCGUAAACGUUGGGAACUAGGUGUUGGCGACAUUCCACGUCGUCGGUGCCGCAGCUAACGCAUUA